CUGCGAGCGCAAGGGACAACCGGUACCAGCUCACAAGCAGCCCGCACCACCAUAGCUGCAACAGGUGCCACUCCCACGGGAUCGUCUCAAACAGGUGCACCUGCGACCACUGACAGCCCUGGGUCAGGUGGGUCAGGUGCUACCAUGGCAACGACCUUUAACCUCCUGCUGCUCGCUAUCCCAGCAUUCCUGGCAAAGUUACUGAUGUAACAUGGGCAAAAAGAAGUGCUGUUUUUAAUAAGAUUAUGUAGUCUGAGAAAAUUUAAAGAAUACUUU